AGGAGUUCUACAAUCUUUCAAGCC
rnacentral:siRNA from 1 species